rnacentral:rRNA from 1 species
GGGCUCACACAAGCGGUGGAACAUGUGGUUUAAUUCGACGCAACGCGAAGAACCUUACCUGGGUUUGACAUCCCCGGCCGACACCAGAGAUGGUGUUUUCUCUUCGGAGACCGGGUGACAGGUGCUGCAUGGCUGUCGUCAGCUCGUGUCGUGAGAUGUUGGGUUAAGUCCCGCAACGAGCGCAACCCUUGCCCUCAGUUGCCAGCAGUUCGGCUGGGCACUCUGGGGGACUGCCGGUGACAAGCCGGAGGAAGGUGGGGAUGACGUCAAGUCCUCAUGGCCUUUAUAUCCAGGGCUGCACACGUCCUACAAUGGUACGGACAAACGGACGCGAAACCGCGAGGUGGAGCAAAUCCUAGAAACCGUGCCUCAGUUCGGAUUGCAGGCUGCAACUCGCCUGCAUGAAGCCGGAAUCGCUAGUAA